AUUGAACGCUGGCGGCAUGCUUUACACAUGCAAGUCGAACGGUAACAGGGAGCUUGCUCCGCUGCCGAGUGGCGAACGGGUGAGUAAUAUAUCGGAACGUACCCAAGAGUGGGGGAUAACGUAGCGAAAGUUACGCUAAUACCGCAUACGAUCUAAGGAUGAAAGCAGGGGACCUUCGGGCCUUGUGCUCCUGGAGCGGCCGAUAUCUGACUAGCUAGCUGGUGAGGUAAAGGCUCACCAAGGCGACGAUCAGUAGCUGGUCUGAGAGGACGACCAGCCACACGGGAACUGAGACACGGUCCAGACUCCUACGGGAGGCAGCAGUGGGGAAUUGUGGACAAUGGGGGCAAGCCUGGUCCAGCAAUGCCGCGUGAGUGAAGAAGGCCUUCGGGUUGUAAAGCUCUUUUGUCAGGGAAGAAACGGGAUUGGCUAAGAUCCAGUCCUAAUGACGGUACCUGAAGAAUAAGCACCGGCUAACUACGUG
rnacentral:rRNA from 1 species